ensembl:lncRNA
CUAAAGCAGGUCUAAACCAGGACUAAAGCAGGUCUAAAGCAGGUCUAAAGCAGGUCUAAAGCAGGUCUAAAGCAGGACUAAAGCAGGUCUAAAGCAGGUCUAAACCAGGUCUAAACCAGGUCUAAAGCAGGUCUAAACCAGGUCUAAACCAGGUCUAAAGCAGGUCUAAACCAGGUCUAAACCAGGUCUAAAGCAGGUCUAAACCAGGUCUAAAGCAGGUCUAAACCAGGUCUAAAGCAGGUCUAAAGCAGGUCUAAACCAGGUCUAAAGCAGGUCUAAAGCAGGACUAAAGCAGGUCUAAAGCAGGUCUAAAGCAGGUCUAAAGCAGGUCUAAACCAGGACUAAACCAGGACUAAAGCAGGUCUAAAGCAGGUCUAAAGCAGGUCUAAAGCAGGUCUAAAGCAGGUCUAAACCAGGACUAAACCAGGUCUAAACCAGGUCUAAACCAGGUCUAAACCAGGACUAAACCAGGUCUCACCACACUGGUCGCAGGGGAACAUGUGGUCUGGGUCCUGGUCUUGCUUGGCCCUCAGUUCGUGGUAGUACAGGUGUCUCUUGAGCGUCCCCUCCUGGUAGAAGCCUUUAUUGCACUGGGGGCAGGGGUGGGGCUUGGCGUGGCUCGCCUUGUGCUUCUGGAGCUGGUGUCUCUGGUGGAAGCCUUUGUGACACUCGGAGCAGAAGAAACGUUUGUGUUUGUAGAGCUCCCUACGGCGGCGACGCUCCUCCUCGCGCUGCUCCUCCUCGCGCUGCUCCUCCUCGCGCUGCUCCUCCUCGCGCU